UUAUCCGAGAUAUAACAUAGAGUUUUGUAAACGCUGCCUGUCGGCUCUGCCCUUCAAGCCCAAUGCGGCUUUGGCAGGCCUAUCAUGUAUUGAUGCCAAUGAAAUUCUGCUAAUAAAGUAUUAUUAUUAUUAUUAUUAUUAUUAUUAUUAUUAUUAUUAUUAUUAUUAUUAUUA
rnacentral:lncRNA from 1 species